UACGAAGGGGGCUAGCGUUGCUCGGAAUGACUGGGCGUAAAGGGCGCGUAGGCGGAGUGCUUUGUCGGGCGUGAAAUUCCAGGGCUCAACCUUGGGGCUGCGUUCGAGACGGGCAUUCUAGAGUGGAGAAGAGGGUCGUGGAAUUCCCAGUGUAGAGGUGAAAUCGUAGAUAUUGGGAAGAACACCGGUGGCGAAGGCGGCGACCUGGUCUUUUACUGACGCUGAGGCGCGAAAGCGUGGGGAGCAAACAGG
rnacentral:rRNA from 1 species